rnacentral:rRNA from 1 species
AGUGAACGCUGGCGGCGUGCUUAAUACAUGCAAGUCGAACGGAGUGGCGCACGGGCGGGUAAUGUAUAGCUAAUCUGCCCUCCACUAGAGGACAACCGUUGGAAACGACUGCUAAUACUCUCUAGUGUAGGUUGAGGGUAUAUUGGAUCAGCUAGUUGGUGAGGUGAUGGCUCACCAAGGCUAUGACGCAUAACUGGUCAGAGAGGAUGCGCAGUGACGCUGAAGCGGAGACGCAGUCCGGAAUCCUACGGGAUGGAGGAGUAGUGAAUAGUGCUCAGCGGGGGGAACGAUGAAGCAGCAACGGCUCGUGAGCUAUGACACUUGGCGGAACGUAAACUCCUGUUGUUAGGGAGGCGGUACCUAACGAAUAAGCACCGGCUAACUCCGUGCCAGCAGCCGCGGUAAUAC